UGUUGCUAGGGCGAGAGGUAACGUCAAUGUUGUGCGAGCUAUCGAGGAACACAUAUGUUUGUUCUCUGGUUGGAUGCGAGAAAUUCAUGGGCCAGGAUUCAUCGAAAUGUUUGUUCCUCAAUUGGUUUCAAGAAAAGUUUGGGUGGUUGUUCUACCAACUGGUUUGCGUAAUCAUACAACGCCUCUGAAGUUGGGGCUGGCGACGUACUCCAGUUUGCAGGUAUAGCAAGUUUAAUUACAAUCUCUCUCUCGAUACACAAGCUUGUCUUAAACUGCCCUGAAUCCGAACAUCAAACUAGCUUCAGCUUUCUUAAAUACUUAUGGAGGUAUUAUGUGUAUAAAUA